AGAGUUUGAUCAUGGCUCAGAACGAACGCUGGCGGCGUGCCUAACACAUGCAAGUCGAACGAGAAAGGGGCUUCGGCUCCGAGUAAAGUGGCGCACGGGUGAGUAACACGUAGGUAACCUGCCUCUAAGAUUGGGAUAACAUGUCGAAAGACGUGCUAAUACCGAAUGAGACCACGGCUUCCUCGGAAGCAGAGGGCAAAGAUAGCCUCUACUUGUAAGCUAUCACUUAGAGAUGGGCCUGCGUACCAUUAGCUAGUUGGUAGGGUAACGGCCUACCAAGGCAAAGAUGGUUAGCUGGUCUGAGAGGAUGAUCAGCCACACUGGAACUGAGACACGGUCCAGACUCCUACGGGAGGCAGCAGUGGGGAAUAUUGCGCAAUGGGCGAAAGCCUGACGCAGCAACGCCGCGUGAGUGAUGAAGGCCUUCGGGUCGUAAAGCUCUGUCGGAGGGAACGAAUGUUCCUGGGGUUAACAGCCUCGGGAAGUGACGGUACCCUCAAAGGAAGCACCGGCUAACUCUGUGCCAGCAGCCGCGGUAAUACAGAGGGUGCUAGCGUUGUUCGGAAUCAUUGGGCGUAAAGGGCGUGUAGGCGGUUUGUUAAGUCAUGUGUGAAAUCCCUCGGCUCAACCGGGGAACGACGCAUGAAACUGGCAAGCUAGAGUACCAAAGAGGGGGGUGGAAUUCCCGGUGUAGCGGUGA
rnacentral:rRNA from 1 species